rnacentral:rRNA from 1 species
GAUGAACGCUGGCGGCGUGCCUAAUACAUGCAAGUCGAGCGAACAGACGAGGAUCUCGCUCCUUUGACGUUAGCGGCGGACGGGUGAGUAAUACGUAGCUAACCUACCUAUAAGACUGGGAUAACUUCGGGACACCGGAGCUAGUAUCGGAUAAUAUUUCGAACCGCAUGGUUCGAUAGUGAAAGAUGGAUUUGCUAUUACUUAUAGAUGGACCUGCGCCGUAUUAGCUAGUUGGUAAGGUAACGGCUUACCAAGGCAACGAUACGUAGCCGACCUGAGGGGGUGAUCGGCCACACUGAAACUGAGACACGGUCCAGACUCCUACGGGAGGCAGCAGUAGGGAAUCUUCCGCAAUGGGCGAAAGCCUGAGGGAGCAACGCCGCGUGAGUGAUGAAGGUCUUCGGAUCGUAAAACUCUGUUAUUAGGGAAGAACAAAAGUGUAAGUAACUGUGCACGUCUUGACGGUACCUAAACAAAAAGCCACGGCUAACUACGUG